UGCAGUCGAGCGGAUGAAGGGGGCUUGCUCCUGGAUUCAGCGGCGGACGGGUGAGUAAUGCCUAGGAAUCUGCCUGGUAGUGGGGGAUAACGUCCGGAAACGGGCGCUAAUACCGCAUACGUCCUGAGGGAGAAAGUGGGGGAUCUUCGGACCUCACGCUAUCAGAUGAGCCUAGGUCGGAUUAGCUAGUUGGUGGGGUAAAGGCCUACCAAGGCGACGAUCCGUAACUGGUCUGAGAGGAUGAUCAGUCACACUGGAACUGAGACACGGUCCAGACUCCUACGGGAGGCAGCAGUGGGGAAUAUUGGACAAUGGGCGAAAGCCUGAUCCAGCCAUGCCGCGUGUGUGAAGAAGGUCUUCGGAUUGUAAAGCACUUUAAGUUGGGAGGAAGGGCAGUAAGUUAAUACCUUGCUGUUUUGACGUUACCAACAGAAUAAGCACCGGCUAACUUCGUGCCAGCAGCCGCGGUAAUACGAAGGGUGCAAGCGUUAAUCGGAAUUACUGGGCGUAAAGCGCGCGUAGGUGGUUCAGCAAGUUGGAUGUGAAAUCCCCGGGCUCAACCUGGGAACUGCAUCCAAAACUACUGAGCUAGAGUACGGUAGAGGGUGGUGGAAUUUCCUGUGUA
rnacentral:rRNA from 1 species